AUCCCAGAUAAGGUUUGCUGGUAUUUAUCUGAUUCAUGGGAGGCAGAUAUUGACAAUGGAAGUUUCGCUGAUAGGGCCUCUUCUUUAUCUGGGAGGUGUUUUAAUAGUAGCUUUCCAUACAUUA